rnacentral:rRNA from 1 species
GGGGAAUAUUGCACAAUGGGCGAAAGCCUGAUGCAGCAACGCCGCGUGAGGGAUGACGGCCUUCGGGUUGUAAACCUCUUUUAGUAGGGAAGAAGCGCAAGUGACGGUACCUGCAGAAAAAGCACCGGCUAACUACGUGCCAGCAGCCGCGGUAAUACGUAGGGUGCAAGCGUUGUCCGGAAUUAUUGGGCGUAAAGAGCUCGUAGGCGGCUUGUCGCGUCUGCUGUGAAAUCCCGGGGCUCAACCCCGGGCCUGCAGUGGGUACGGGCAAGCUAGAGUGCGGUAGGGGAGAUUGGAAUUCCUGGUGUAGCGGUGGAAUGCGCAGAUAUCAGGAGGAACACCAAUGGCGAAGGCAGAUCUCUGGGCCGCUACUGACGCUGAGGAGCGAAAGCAUGGGGAGCGAAC